UUACGGCCAAAUCAAGUUGAAACACUGGUUCCAAUAUGAUCACUGAAGUUAAGGAAUGUUGAGCCUGGUUAGUACAUAGAUGGGUGACUGCUUAGGAAUACCUGGUGCUGUAAG